AGUCGAGCGGUAACAGAAAGUAGCUUGCUACUUUGCUGACGAGCGGCGGACGGGUGAGUAAUGCUUGGGAACAUGCCUUGAGGUGGGGGACAACAGUUGGAAACGACUGCUAAUACCGCAUAAUGUCUACGGACCAAAGGGGGCUUCGGCUCUCGCCUUUAGAUUGGCCCAAGUGGGAUUAGCUAGUUGGUGAGGUAAUGGCUCACCAAGGCGACGAUCCCUAGCUGGUUUGAGAGGAUGAUCAGCCACACUGGGACUGAGACACGGCCCAGACUCCUACGGGAGGCAGCAGUGGGGAAUAUUGCACAAUGGGCGCAAGCCUGAUGCAGCCAUGCCGCGUGUGUGAAGAAGGCCUUCGGGUUGUAAAGCACUUUCAGUCAGGAGGAAAGCGUGGUGGUUAAUACCCAUCAUGUGUGACGUUACUGACAGAAGAAGCACCGGCUAACUCCGUGCCAGCAGCCGCGGUAAUACGGAGGGUGCGAGCGUUAAUCGGAAUUACUGGGCGUAAAGCGUACGCAGGCGGUUUGUUAAGCGAGAUGUGAAAGCCCCGGGCUCAACCUGGGAACUGCAUUUCGAACUGGCAAACUAGAGUGUGAUAGAGGGUGGUAGAAUUUCAGGUGUAGCGGUGAAAUGCGUAGAGAUCUGAAGGAAUACCGAUGGCGAAGGCAGCCACCUGGGUCAACACUGACGCUCAUGUACGAAAGCGUGGGGAGCAAACGGGAUUAGAUACCCCGGUAGUCCACGCCGUAAACGAUGUCUACUAGAAGCUCGGAGCCUCGGUUCUGUUUUUCAAAGCUAACGCAUUAAGUAGACCGCCUGGGGAGUACGGCCGCAAGGUUAAAACUCAAAUGAAUUGACGGGGGCCNNNNCAAGCGGUGGAGCAUGNNNUUUAAUUCGAUGCAACGCGAAGAACCUUACCUACACUUGACAUACANNNAACUUACCAGAGAUGGUUUGGU
rnacentral:rRNA from 1 species